rnacentral:misc_RNA from 1 species
UUUCCGUAGGUGAACCUGCGGAAGGAUCAUUACCGAGUUAGGGUCCCUCCCACGGGGCCCGACCUCCCAACCCCGUGUCUAAUAAACCUGUACGUGUUGCUUCGGCGGACCGACAGCCCCGCUGCCGCCGGGGGAGACCACGAGCUCACGCUCGUCCCCUGGAGAGCGUCCGUCGAUGGCCCAACCAAACAAACUCCCAAACCAAAAUGUAUGUGAAACACAAUUCUGAAUCAGACCUUUUGAUAUACCAAUCAAAAACAAAACUUUCAACAACGGAUCUCUUGGUUCUGGCAUCGAUGAAGAACGCAGC